rnacentral:rRNA from 1 species
GCAAGUCGAACGGUAACAUAGACUGCUUGCAGUCUGAUGACGAGUGGCGCACGGGUGCGUAACGCGUAUGCAACUUCCCUCUAACUGGAGGAUAGCCCGGAGAAAUUCGGAUUAAUACUCCAUAGUAUUUUGAGAUCGCAUGAUUUUAAAAUUAAAAUUUCGAUGGUUAGAGAUGGGCAUGCGUUCUAUUAGUUUGUUGGUAAGGUAACGGCUUACCAAGACUACGAUAGAUAGGGGGCCUGAGAGGGUGAUC